UUUAUACUUAAAACCAAAAGUUUUCUAGUGGCUUUAUCAAUUUUAGCUAUAAAUAUAGUGGAAGAAAACAAUGAAAAAAAGAAAAAAGAAAAAGAGAGGUGGCCACCAUGUUAGGGUUUGGAACAUACACACAUGAGAAAGAAGAUGAUUACACAAUGUUUGUUCUACCAUAGAUUGAAGAAGAUGAUUACACAAUGUUUAUUCUACCACUGAUUAAAUUUUUAUGUUAAAAACAAAUAAAAAUAUAAUGUCUGGGCUUGAACUCAGGUUUAUUAUAAGAAUAUAAAGACAACUAACCACUUCUCUAUCACCAACGUUACGUUUGCUUUUAAAAUAUUUAAUAUUUAUCUAACAAAAUAAUAUAAAGUCUUAAAACUAGGUUUCAAUUAAACUCGUCUAAUCCACGAUUUUUUUGUUAGGUGCUAGGCUCGAGGUUACCGGACCCAUAACGCUUUCGAACGUUGGCAUAAACUCAAGAAAAUGAGCUGAAUUUUGUACAUACAAAAGCCAAAUCAAUAUUCUACUGUACAUCAAUAUUCUACUUUACGAACAUAUUUAUGAGAUUCAAUUGUACAUCUUUAUAUCCGCACACCCACUUAAAAAAUUCACUUAGACCUUCAGUGCAUAGUUAAACAUCAAAAAUAAAUGUAACCUUAACAUCUGUCUACAUCGCAUAGAUAUUAAAAAUCUGUGUCCAGCCUUAUUGACGAUCAAAAUUUCUCACUGUUAAAUUUUUCCCAACCAUCCUCCUUCUCCUCCCCACACUCCAUCAUAGGUUGCACAGUCAGCUGCAAAUAUAGAAACACGGCAAAUCAAAGCAAAAUCAAUACACAGCUCUAUUGCAAACUAUACAAGCAUAAUAUGCAAAGUAAACAUGUACACAUACGUUCAUAUAGUACACAUGUACACAUAAGUUCGUAGUGUACACAUGUACAUCACAUGUAGCAUGUACAACCUAAAACGUUCGUACAUGUGUACAACUAGUUACCUGAAUAUCAUACUCAGCCUCUAACACCUCCGCCUUCUUUGUUGCUGCCUCGUCCUCGAUUACAUACCAUCUUUAACCUCUCUGCCUCUUCACUACCUUCAAGCACACCCCUCACCAGCAGAAGGUACUCCAACGAUGAGUAGCAGUUAAGCCUCCUACUCGGAAACCAGACCGCCGCAAACAAACGGGUUGGUAUCCUAUCAUUCACCUCUUCCUCAACCGUCGUCGCUACCUCUGUACCGUGACAAGAAACUCGUCAAAUCCAAGAACAAUCUUACAUAGAAACCCUAAAUUUGAGCCAAUUGGAAAACCACAAAUAAACUCACCUUUUGCUUUCUCCUUUCCUGAGCGCUUCUUCUUCGUCGUCAUCGUCGAUUACGCAUGCAUACAUGGGCCGCCGUCGAUUUUGAUUUCGUCAUUUGUCUUUUUUUUCUCCGUCAUUCUCUCUCGCAGAAACUGUCACUUUUAAUUUUUUACAGAUAAAAAAAAAAUUAUUUGCCUUUUACGGGCUCAAGAAAUAAUUUAUCAAUUGGAUUUAACAUCCUAUGGGGUCCACCAACUAAUCGCUGCUUUAUUCAAAAUUCAAAAUCUGUAACCAGCCUUUUCUCAACCUAACUAGCAUUGAACAUCGUUUUACUUAAAUACCAAUCCUUGUUUUGCUUUUCAGAGGAUAAUUUGGUCUUCAACCACAUAAAAGUGUCUGUGUAGCACAAUGUACUCUCCAGGGUAAAUAAAACACAUAAAAUGACCAUUUGUGUUAACAACUCUUCCAUAGUAAUCCUCCUUCUAUUUUUUCAUUGGCUGAAACAAAAAGUGUGUGGAUUACAAAGUGUAGACCAUUGAUUUAAUUUAUUCAAUGGUUCAGAUUCAUUCAUCUGUGUUUCUUCCUCUCUCUCGCCUCUUUUUUAUACAAUCAGACCACAAUUCAGUAUUCUUUUUAAUUUCUUUUAUUCUUUUUUAAUUUCAGAUCUGAAACAAUUUUUUAAUCUUUGUCUUCUUCACUACUAUGACAUCAUCUCUCUAUGCACAUCUUUUUUCUUCUCUACAAUCUCAUCAAAGUCAAUAUGUGUGUCUUCCUCUCUCUCUCUCUCUCUUGUCUCUUUUGUUUCCAUCUGCCGCCAACCUCUCAUAUUCUUCUCUAUAUCGCAUCUCUUCUCCACCUCUGCUCAAGCUUGCCAACGUCUUCCCGUCACGGAUCUCGACCUGUCGCGAGCUCUACAUCUCUGCUGUCGCUAUCUUCUGAUAUGUCUCCCUCAACGACAGAGGAGGAGCAUCCCAUCUACUCUAUUAUCUCUCUAUCUUUUAGUUCUGUGGUGGCUAAGACUUAACCGUAACGCCUCCUCCUCUGUUCCGUGAAGAAGUGACGCCUCCCCCCUGCUUCGUGACAACUCUGCUCCUCUACUUUGUGACCGCUCUGCUACAAGUCUCUCUUCCUCUGUGUGCGGCCUCUCCUCCUCUCAAAUACGCUUCCUCUGCUCCUCUCCUCAACAACUAGCCGGAGAUGGGUCCUCCUCUGCGACAACCCUACAUCACGUCCUCGCUGAAGACUGCUUUGCUUUCCGUCAAAAGUCCCAUGGCGGCUCGUUGGAGAACAACCAAAUUAGGUUUAGGUGUGAACUGUGGAAUUUUUUUAGGUUUAGUUUUUUUUUAAUUUAGUUAAUUUUGUAAAACGAUUUUAAUUUAUAAACCAAAUUCAGUUAUUUUGUAAAUGAAAAUUAAUAAAUUAUAUUAUUUAAUUGUAUUUUUCGAAUUGUAUUUUUGUUUUUUUAUAAUAAUAUAAAUAAUAACAAAAAUUAUAUGCUACUAAAAAAUAUGUAAUUGCAAACAUACAAACGCUAUUGUAUAUGAUAAUAAAAUAGCAGUACAAAAACCGCUAUCUAAUGUGUCUUACCUACUAUCACGGGCGAUGAUACAUCACUUCAUAAACCGCUAUCGUAUCGUUAGAUAGAGUUUUUUGGCCGCUAACUAAAGCCAUUUUUCUUGUAGUGAGUAAUAAAAAAAAACGGCUUUACAAUAUGAAAUUUUUGAUAAAAAUCAAUGGUCAGCCAAUAGAUAAAAUAAGCCAUGUAAAUAGUAGACAAAUCAACACCAAAAAACUUUUAAAACAAUCGCGUGUCAAGCCUUGAAAAAUCUAACUACUGAGUAUGAGAUGGCUUAAAUCCCUGUUCAAAAAUGCGGCGCCUAAAACAGCUUACUCGCCGAAAAAUCGUUCGUCGGCCCCCAACCGCCAUGAUUUGGUACCAAUAGGACAAAAACUCAGCGAUCUUUAAAAAAAACUCAAGAUUUUGUUCAUCUAUUCUAUUAAAAUAGGAACAUGACCUAUUGAUAUAGGUGUGGUCCAACUAUUUUAAUACAAUCAUUAAAAAAUUUUAUUAAUCCGUUAAGAGAAAUAUUAUACAAAAAAACACAAAUAUGACUAAAACACAAAUACAAAAAUUAAAUUGCUAAAAAAUGUAAAAUAAAACCAUACCCGCCCUUCUACUAAAAUAGGAACAUGACCUAUUUAUAUAGGUGUGGUCCAACUAUUUUAAUAUAAUUAUUAAAAUAUUUUAUUAAUCAUUUAAGAGAAAUAUUAUACAAAAACACAACUACGACUAAAAAACACAAAUACAAAAAAUAAAUUUCACAAAAAAAAGUAAAACAAAAAUACACCCGCCCUUUUAAAGACAGGUCAGAAACUUGUUUAUACUUAAAACCAAAAGUUUUCUAGUGGCUUUAUCAAUUUUAGCUAUAAAUAUAGUGGAAGAAAACAAUGAAAAAAAGAAAAAAGAAAAAGAGAGGUGGCCACCAUGUUAGGGUUUGGAACAUACACACAUGAGAAAGAAGAUGAUUACACAAUGUUUGUUCUACCAUAGAUUGAAGAAGAUGAUUACACAAUGUUUAUUCUACCACUGAUUAAAUUUUUAUGUUAAAAACAAAUAAA
rnacentral:lncRNA from 1 species